rnacentral:rRNA from 1 species
GUGGGGAAUAUUGCGCAAUGGGGGAAACCCUGACGCAGCGACGCCGUGUGAGGGAAGAAGGCUUUCGGGUCGUAAACCUCUGUCAGAAAGGAAGAACCUCCCAAGUCCGAAUAGGGCUUGGGACUGACGGUACUUUCAAAGGAAGCACCGGCUAACUCCGUGCCAGCAGCCGCGGUAAUACGGAGGGUGCAAGCGUUAAUCGGAAUCACUGGGCGUAAAGCGCGCGUAGGCCGCUUUGUAAGUCGGACGUGAAAGCCCUCGGCUCAACCGGGGAACUGCGUUCGAUACUGCGAGGCUUGAGUCCUGGAGAGGGUGGCGGAAUUCCGGGUGUAGGAGUGAAAUCCGUAGAUAUCCGGAGGAACACCGGUGGCGAAGGCGGCCACCUGGACAGGUACUGACGCUGAGGCGCGAAAGCGUGGGGAGCAAACGGGAUUAGAAACCCGUGUAGUCC